UUCCCUUGAACACUUACAGUUUUGAGUAAGAAAAUCGCCAAAAACUAAGAUUCAUCAACGUCCAUGUUUAGCUUGUCACGUCACACUCAUUAUCAUCAGCUGUUGAGCACCUUGUCAAAGAAGUCGGCACAUGGAAAUCACAAUGGAAAGGAGGAUUUUGCAUACAUUUUGAGAAUUUGUAUUCACUGGGUUUUCUACUGCUUCCAAGUGACUUGACAUGUAGGAAGUCUGCAUUAUCAUGAUUUUAAGAUAAAUGAGAAACAAUGGCUACUUCCAAUACAAUAGCACAUUUGAUAAAAUGAAUAAGACACAAGGACUGCACUUGUCAUUCUAAGGAAGAUCAACAAAUGAAACACAAACAAGGAUAUUAUUUUCAUAUUAGAUUCCUGUACAUGAGAUAUAAAGAGAAAAUUAAUUUUCCUGAAAAGACUCUUUACUAAUAUACAUAUGUGUGACAAAAUGAAUGGAAUCAAGACUGUUUUAA